CCCAUUUUAAGCUGAGACGGUAGAGCAAGAGACUCUUAAUCUCAGGGUUGUGAGUUCAAAUCUCUCAUUUGGGG